CUAAGAAUCUUGCGCAAUGGGCGAAAGCCUGACGCAGCAAUUCCGCGUGGGGGACGAAGGCCCUCGGGUCGUAAACCCCUUUUGCGAGGGAAGAAGUUCUGACGGUACCUCGCGAAUAAGACACGGCUAACUACGUGCCAGCAGCCGCGGUAAUACGUAGGUGUCAAGCGUUGUCCGGAUUUAUUGGGCGUAAAGCGCCCGCAGGCGGCUUGUUAAGUUCGAAGUGAAAUCUCCCGGCUUAACUGGGAGGGUGCUCCGAAAACUGGCAGGCUUGAGUCAUGGAGAGGGAUGUGGAAUUCCCGGUGUAGUGGUGAAAUGCGUAGAUAUCGGGAGGAACACCAGUGGCGAAGGCGGCAUCCUGGCCAUGUACUGACGCUCAGGGGCGAAAGCGUGGGGAGCAAACCGG
rnacentral:rRNA from 1 species